UGAACGGCUUUUUUCUGAUGG
rnacentral:piRNA from 1 species